rnacentral:rRNA from 1 species
AGAGUUUGAUCCUGGCUCAGGAUGAACGCUGGCGGCGUGCCUAACACAUGCAAGUCGAGCGCGAUUAAGUGUAGUGGAGACUUCGGUCAAAGUGAAACUUAUGAAAGCGGCGGACGGGUGAGUAACGCGUGGGCAACCUGCCCCAUACAAAGGGAUAGCCACUGGAAACGGUGAUUAAUACCUUAUAAGUCAGUAGCACCGCAUGGUGUAGCUGACAAAGAUUUAUCGGUAUGGGAUGGGCCCGCGUCUGAUUAGCUAGUUGGUGAGGUAACGGCUCACCAAGGCGACGAUCAGUAGCCGACCUGAGAGGGUGAUCGGCCACACUGGAACUGAGACACGGUCCAGACUCCUACGGGAGGCAGCAGUGGGGAAUAUUGCACAAUGGGCGCAAGCCUGAUGCAGCAACGCCGCGUGAGUGAUGAAGGCCUUCGGGUCGUAAAACUCUGUCCUAUGGGAAGAAAUCAAUGACGGUACCAUGGGAGGAAGCCCCGGCUAACUACGUGCCAGCCGCCGCGAAUAC